rnacentral:rRNA from 1 species
AGCAGCCGCGGUAAUUCCAGCUCCAAUAGCGUAUAUUAAAGUUGUUGCAGUUAAAAAGCUCGUAGUUGAAUUUCGGGGUCAGUAGGUCGGUCGUGCCACUGGUAUGAACUGGUUUUACUGAUUCCUCCCUCUUGAAGAACUGUAAUGCCAUUAAUUUGGUGUUGCAGGGAAUCAGGACUGUUACCUUGAAAAAAUUAGAGUGUUUAAAGCAGGCUUUAGCUUGAAUACAUUAGCAUGGAAUAAUGAAAUAGGACGUUUGAUCCUAUUUUGUUGGUUUCUAGGAUUGACGUAAUGAUUAAUAGGGAUAGUUGGGGGCACUAGUAUUCAAUUGUCAGAGGUGAAAUUCUUGGAUUUAUUGAAGACUAACUACUGCGAAAGCAUUUGCCAAGGAUGUUUUCAUUAAUCAAGAACGAAAGUUAGGGGAUCGAAGACGAUCAGAUACCGUCGUAGUCUUAACCAUAAACUAUGCCGACUAGGGAUCGGAUGAUGUUAAUUUUUUAAUGACUCA